CAGGCCUGGCAGCAGGCUGGGUGAGGGGACACAGGAGUCCAGCAGGAAGGUCUGCAUGUGCGGGGGCUGCCCCCUUUCCUGAGUUUCCUGUCCCCUGUCUCCGCUGCUCCGCUGUUUGCCCGUGACAGCAGCUAGUCAUCAGAGUCAUCAGCCUCUGGAGUCGCCCUAACCUGAAUUAUUUGUUCCUCUCCCUGUUUCCACUGCGGCAACACAAGCUGUGUUCUUCCACCUCAAAUCUAUUAAUACCAGGCAGAGGUGUUGGGACCACAGAGAAAGUGCGGGCAUCUCUCAUCCUUAAAGGACAAGCAGAACGGCAGUGACUGAGAUGAAACACACCCGCCUCUUGCAUCUCACGUGUGUCUGGGUGGUGCACAGCUUGGAGGAGCAGCCGUGCAGAGGGCAGGCGUGCAGAGUAAGUUGGAGCCGAAAUGCCACCAAAUCCCGGAGAAAGAACUGAUGGUAUCUUUGGAAACCUGUCCAGCCAGUAUGAAGGGAGAGACGUAUAAAGCCUGCCUACAUACAAAGGUCUGAAAGUUCAGCAUCAGCAAGGCGAUACAUUGCUUCAGUUUCCUUUAUAAGUUUCCUGAUAACCUCAGCUGGUGUUGGAGAGUCCCAUAGAGUUCAAUGAGCGCUUGCAUAACAUUCUGUAAAUUGAAUUAUCUUUGCAUCAGUGGGUAAAGCACAGAGUAGCUGGGGGCAAAAGGUUGCAAAAGAAUAAAUCCAGUGGACCUGCUGUUCUUUCCUAAGCAGGAUGUGUGUGUUAUAUGUAACAGAGUGUGAAGAGCUCGCCCGAUUCUCCAAGGGUUGCGAAGACAAAAUCAUGGACACAGGAGUCAAGCAUCUCAUUUCAUCCUUCUCUUCAUGAGGUUCAACAAAGAACUCCAGUUUCUGCUCUGGUGAUUGUGAGCAUCUUCCCAGGCUAGGUGACCCAUGGCCACCACCCAUGCCCCUGCUGGUGGUGCUAAUGUGGAUUGCAGGACUUAACCCAGCAUGCUCCCCCACUCGGUGGACAGUGGCUUCUGUAAGCUUUCAGGAGGGCAUCCUUGCAAGUACCCAGCCCAAGGCUGCCUCCUCACGUGUGACUGCAGGUCGGGUCACUUGGUGCCUGCAGUGGGUGCUGAAUUGUUUCAUUUUCCUCCUCCACGAAAGUCUGGCCCUGGUUGUGCCUUGCCUAGUGGCAAAGGGGUUCCCACUGAGAGGAUGCGCAGGAAAACUCCCACGGGCGACACGUGGAAAUCCUGUUAGCGACGCCACGGCAAAGCGCAGACGGCAAAGGAGGAGGGGGCUGGCCCAUCCGCUGAUAAUACUGCCGGAACAGUUCAAUCAGCAGCUCACACACAUUCUAAAUCAUCAAGGCAGUAAAUCUUGGACCGCAUCUCACGUGCUGAGGGUCUUCGAAAUUUUCUCUGUUCCAUUUUUAGCAUGGGGGUGGCAAACAGAAAUAAUUAUGUAGAUUAGAACCAAAACCUCACCUAAAAGACAAAUUCUUGGGGCUGGCGUUAACAUUUCACUGAUAAUGCUCUUUUCAUAAAUCUUGGCAUUCCUGUUAAAUUAUUCAUACGGUGUUCUAGGAGAACAUAUGACAAUUUUUUUUUUAAAUGUAUUCUUCACAGCAUCUUGCAAUCAGCCAGAAUGUCACUCCAUGGGUUAUUUUUCUGAAUCUCGCCAUCUGAAUGUUCUGAAUAAAUUUUACUUUAUUCAAUAAGUUUCACUCUUGUUUCCAAGCAUUCCUUUUAUGAUUUCUACAGCUUCACUUCUAUUGUAUUACCCUCCUAUUUUAUUUCUUUCCCAUAGUCUUGAUCUCCCUUUAUAUCUGCCGUGCGCUUCACUUUACUGUUUUGCAAUCUAUCAUUUCAGCUUUAAAAAAAAAA
ensembl:lncRNA